AUUGAACGCUGGCGGCAGGCCUAACACAUGCAAGUCGAGCGAGCGGCGGACGGGUGAGUAAUGUCUGGGGAACUGACUGAUGGAGGGGGAUAACUACUGGAAACGGUAGCUAAUACCGCAUACCAUCAGAUGUGCCCAGAUGGGAUUAGCUAGAAGGGGGGGGAACGGCUCACCUAGGCGACGAUCCCCAGCUGGUCUGAGAGGGUGCCCAGCCACGCUGGAAGUGAGACCCGGUCCAGAUUCCUACGGGAGGCAGCAGGGGGGAAGAGUGCACAAUGGGCGCAAGCCUGAUGCAGCCAUGCCGGGUGGGUGAAGAAGGCCUUCGGGUUGUAAAGCACUUUCAGCGGGGAGGCGUUACCCGCAGAAGAAGCACCGGCUAACUCCGUGCCAGCAGCCGCGGUAAUAC
rnacentral:rRNA from 1 species